UUUCCGUAGGUGAACCUGCGGAAGGAUCAUUACAGUAGUCGUCCGGGUUGCCGCAAGGCCUCCCGGGUAACCUACCACCCUUUGUUUAUUACACUUUGUUGCUUUGGCAGGCCUGCCCUCGGGCUGCUGGCUCCGGCCGGCGAGCGCUUGCCAGAGGACCUAAACUCUGUUUGUCUAUACUGUCUGAGUACUAUAUAAUAGUUAAAACUUUCAACAACGGAUCUCUUGGUUCUG
rnacentral:misc_RNA from 1 species